rnacentral:rRNA from 1 species
AUUGAACGCUGGCGGCGUGCUUAACACAUGCAAGUCGAGCGGUAACAGGCGUAGCAAUACGUGCUGACGAGCGGCGAACGGGUGCGUAAUACAUCGGAAUCUGCCUCGUAGUGGGGAAUAACCCGGCGAAAGCCGGGCUAAUGCCGCAUACGAUCCACGGAUGAAAGCGGGGGACCUUCGGCCUCGCGCUAUGAGAUGAGCCGAUGUCGGAUUAGCAGUUGGUGAGGUAACGGCUCACCAAGGCGACGAUCCGUAGCUGGUCUGAGAGGACGGCCAGCCACACUGGGACUGAGACACGGCCCAGACUCCUACGGGAGGCAGCAGUGGGAAUAUUGGACAAUGGGGAACCCUGAUCCAGCGACGCCGCGUGUGUGAAGAAGGCCUGCGGGC